ensembl:lncRNA
CUUUAACACGCUGGGUGACUCUCACCCGCAGGCCCCUGCCUCUCACCAGGGACUCCCUUCCUCUGACCUCCUUUAGGUGAUUAGCUAGACGUGUCUUUUCUAGUGAGGCCAUCCCGACUGCCCUAUUUCAUGCCGUAAUCUGUCCCCUCCCCUGGCUCUACUCAUUUUCCACGGCAGGCAUCACUUUCUAACAGACCAUUUAACUUGUGUAUUAUGCUGCCCCUGCUGGAAUAUAAGCUCUAUGAGGUGGGGGAUCUUUGUCCCUGUUGUUCCCUGGUAUUUCCCAAGCACCUAGAACACGGCCUAGCCCUUAGCAGGUGCUCAAUAAACAGGUGUUAACAACGGGCAUUUGUUGCUGUGUCUACUUUGGCAUGGCAUCCUCCUCCAGACGCAGGUGUAAGACCUGGCGUAUGACAGACCUUCAGCAAGUGUCAGUUGACUGACACAGUGGGUGUGUGAGUGAAUGCAUGAAUCAAUGAAUCAAAGCCCGACUGGGAAAAAGGCUGAGUAUCUUCAUAGACCCUUUAAGAGGCACAGGUUCUUUCUUCAAGUUUACUUUGUCCUUGACAUCUUUUCAGCCACAUUCUUCUUUCCGAAUAGCCCUGAUGCUGAGGGUGGGGACAGCCAUUUUCUCUCUCAGGGGAUGUUCUGGAAUGAGACAAAAGAGUGACCUCAAAAAAAUCUGGGAAAGCAGCCACCUUGAAAAAUAGAUCUUAGAAGAAAGAAUUUCAAGAGAGGGGCCAAAAGAGGAAGCACGCAGGGGUCCCUGAAGUCUAGUCCACCUGAACUCCGGAGCCUUCUACCUUGUAACGAUGAGCACACUGAGGUCCUAGAGAAGCCAAGAAAACUGACCAAAGCCACGUAAGCAAUAAGCGGUGGAGCUGGGUUUCGAACUCCAGCAGUCCGAGUCAAGGGUCCGCCGGGCGGGGGUUAGACUAUGCAGGUGAGGAUUUUGACUUUUCCGAAGCGCAGUGGGCAGCCACUGAAGGUAAUUUAAGCAAGGACUAAUAUGAUCUGUUAUCUGUAAAGAGGACGAAUAACUCCUCCCUCACGGGGCUGCUGUGGGGAUUAUCUUGGUUCCUGGAUGGAAAGCCCUUGGACAAGCGCCUGGAGGAAGAGAAGCACUCAACGAAUAAAUGAUCCUUCUGGAGGCGGCGGCUCAGGCCGGCCGGAUGGUGCACAGGAUUUUACACGUGGGCAUCUGCUGCCGCCCGGUGGCCGCUUCGCUGUAUGACAUGCCGUGGAUUCGGUCCAGCCAAAUUCGCGAGGGGCGGGGCUGGUCCCGGCGCGGAGAAACGGCUGCAUCCGGGGCUGGGGCCCAAGCAAGGGAGGAGCUCCCAGAGCCGGGCUGGAGGGCUGGGUGAGGGCCUGUGUGGGCAGAGGUGCGGAAUCCUGGAGUGGAUUAACCGACUCACCUAUUCAGCCCUAGGUUGGCGACCCAAACCCUAAUGAGACGUGGUCCUUGCCCAAGAGGACCUCAGAGUCCGAUGGGGAGACAACGAGGAGGCGCCUUGGUGUCUGAGGAACAGCGAGGACUCCUGGGCCGGAGUCCCAGUCCUGCCACUUCCCGGGGACUUCACUGCCCGGAACAGCAGUUUCUUCGUAUAUCAAAUGGGGACAGAAUAGAGCCUGCCUGUGGGGUUGUGAAGACCAAAGGAAAACACUAAAUUGGCACAUUGUCAGCGCUCCAUCUGUGGCCAGAGGCAGGCUGCCCAGCCGGCUCUGAGCCUCAGUAAAGAUUAACCAAGCAGCCAGGUACAAUGGAAAAGAAGACCUGUGUCCCAGUUCCAUUGCUGGCACUAAACUUGCUAUGUGACCUUGGCAAGUCAUUUCCCCUCUCGGAGCCUGUUUCACCGGUCAUACAAGGUGAAGGUUGGACGAAAUCAGAUCUCUUCCUGCUCUAAUUUAUCAAGCCUCCUUUCUGGGCCAGCCCAGAUUUUUGGCCAUGGGGCAUACAGAAGAAGAUCCAGGCUUGCCCCGACCCGUUCACAUACCCAACCCAGAGCAUCAGCAAAAUGGACGUAAUAAUUCAAGCCCCAUCCAACCACAGGGUAGCUGGGAGACAACUGUGAGGCUCUGUCGAGCUAACAAUGUGGAAGCUGGUGAGAUGCAUGAAUUGCAGAGGAGUCUUGCUCCUUAAAGUGUGGUCCAUGGACAGAUAUCACCUGGGAGCUUGUUAGGAAUACAGACUCUUAGGUCCCACCCUGACCCACUGACCCAGGACCUGCAGUUGAACUCGGUUCCCAGGCUAUUCCUACACACAUUUAAAUGAGUUGGAGACACACUGGUCUGGGGCAGUGGUUCUCAACCUCGGCCACACAAGAGCAUCCCCAAGAAGUCUUCAAAAGUCCUCGUACCCAGGAUGUACCCCUGGGGGCUCUGGGAGUGGGACCCAGACACCAGUGGUUUUUAAAAGCUUUCCAGGUAAUUCCAAAGUGCAGCCAUAUCUAGUGCCACUAAGGCAAAUAUAUUUUCUCUUUUGUGCCAACUAAAAUGAAUGGAUAGUGACUUUCUAGAAUGUUCACUGAGAAAGAGCUGGUGUGUGCCAUUGGGGCUGGGUAGAAGCUGUGGCAUAAAAGCCAAGGUGUAGCAAGAAGCCAGCCUUUAUGGAGCCCUACUGGGUGCCAGGCCCUGGGCUACCUGCCCUACAAGUAUGCUGCAGCUUAAUCCUUGCACUAACCAGGGUGUAACCAUCCCCCAUAAGAUCCCCCACCCCAUCGCUCUUACAUUGGGCUCGGCAGAGACUCCUUUUGGAGAGAGCCCGCCAGCCUGGAGCAUCUUGGGUCACGUGCUGCCCAGUCUCGCUGACAGAUGUGCCCUGUCCCUGCUGCGUGGGGACCCGAGGAACUAAUCCCCAUAGCGGAGGGCGUACAUGGAUUAGUGCUGGGAAAAUCAGGCGCCACAUCUGCCAGCCCCUGGGGAGCUUGGGUGAAGCCUGCGCCACAGAGCUGGGGAAGCCACUCCUGUCCCCUGGAACACGGGGCACUCCCGGAGGCGCUGGCCAGCGAUGGCGGGACCUGAAUUGCCCUGUCCCUCCUGAGCCUUCCAGAAGAGGCCCGCUUGGACCUCUCUUUGCCUUCACUCCUCUGACUCAGUUUCCUGCUCACCGGGUUUCCUGGGCUGUAGACCUGAAUCCUCAGGGAGCAGGACUCUUGCACGCCUUGGAGAGAAUGAAGGCCCAGGCUGUCUCGUGACUGAAGAUUCCAGAGGCCCGAGUUUGAGGUCCAGCUCUCCACCAGCUCGCUGUUCCUCACUCUUCAACGGCCUGUACUACACUCACCUAGUCAUUCAGCAAUCCUCACCAAGCCCCCGG